rnacentral:rRNA from 1 species
GUUUGAUCCUGGCUCAGGACGAACGCUGGCGGCGUGCUUAACACAUGCAAGUCGAACGGAGUAGAAAUACUUAGUGGCGGACGGGUGAGUAACGCGUGAGAAUCUGCCUUCAGGACGGAGACAACAGUUGGAAACGACUGCUAAGCCCCGAUGUACCGAAAGGGAAAAUAUUUAUAGCCUGAAGAUGAGCUCGCGUCCGAUUAGCUAGUUGGCGGAGUAAAAGCCCACCAAGGCGACGAUCGGUAGCUGGUCUGAGAGGACGAUCAGCCACACUGGGACUGAGACACGGCCCAGACUCCUCCUGGAGGCAGCAGUGAGGAAUUUUC